rnacentral:rRNA from 1 species
GGGCCCGCACAAGCGGUGGAGCAUGUGGUUUAAUUCGAUGCAACGCGAAGAACCUUACCAGGUCUUGACAUCCUACGGAUUUCUAUGAAAGUAGAAAGUGCCUUCGGGAGCGUAGAGACAGGUGGUGCAUGGUUGUCGUCAGCUCGUGUCGUGAGAUGUUGGGUUAAGUCCCGCAACGAGCGCAACCCCUGCUAUUAGUUGCUAACAUUAAUGAUGAGCACUCUAAUGGGACUGCCUGUGACAAGCAGGAGGAAGGUGGGGAUGACGUCAAAUCAUCAUGCCCUUUAUGAUCUGGGCUACACACGUGCUACAAUGGAUGGUACAGAGGGCAGCGAAGCCGUGAGGUGAAGCGAAUCUCAAAAAGCCAUUCUCAGUUCGGAUUGCAGUCUGCAACUCGACUGCAUGAAGUCGGAAUCGCUAGUAAUCGCGAAUCAGCACGUCGCGGUGAAUGCGUUCCCGGGCCUU